GGUGAUGUAGCUCAAACGGUAGAGCGCUCGCUUUGCAGGGGUUCGAUACCCCGCAUCUCCA
rnacentral:tRNA from 1 species